AAUUUUUUGUUUGUAACCAGUAGACGUUUCAUCGAUCAUCUAUCAUUCAAGCAGCAGGAUUCACGUAGACAAAAUGCAUUGUACACAGCGAGAUUCAACCACAGUAUUUUUGUUGACUUUAUUCGUGUUUGACAAAGAUGUUAUUGGAUAUCGAGGCACUUCUGGAAUUGUACCAGCACCCUCGAUAUCCCAAUUUCAAUCUUCCGAAACCAACAAGAUCAAAAGUACCUAGACGGAAACCCAUACAAAUGCAAGGAAGAAUUUUAUAAUUUAAGUUAAAUAUUGUAUUGAAAAUUUCAAAUUAAGCGGUACAUCACAAAUGAAUCUACACAAAGUCAAGAUUAGCCCAGGAGUUGCAUUUUUCUUAAAAAUGUAUCAGAACGUUUCAACGAUCAUCUAUCAUUCAAGCAGCAGGAUUCACGUAGACAAAAUGCAUUGUACACAGCGAGAUUCAACCACAGUAUUUUUAUUGACUUUUUUCGUGUUUGACAAAGACGUUAUUUGAUAUCAAGGCAGUUCUGGAAUUGUACCAGCACCCUCGAUAUCCCAAUUUCAAUCUUCCGAAACCAACAAGAUUAAAAGUACCUAGACGGAAACCCAUAUAAAUACAAGGAAGAAUUUUAUAAUUUAAGUUAAAUAUUGUAUUAAAAAUUUCAAAUUAAGCGGUACAUCACAAAUGAAUCUACACAAAGUCAAGAUUACCCUUGGAGUUGCAUUUUUCUUAAAAUUGUAUCAGAACGUUUCAACGAUCAUCUAUCAUUCAAGCAGCAGGAUUCACGUAGACAAAAUGCAUUGUACACAGCGAGAUUCAACCACAGUAUUUUUGUUGACUUUUUUCGUGUUUGACAAAGACGUUAUUUGAUAUCGAGGCAGUUCUGGAAUUGUACCAGCACCCUCGAUAUCCCAAUUUCAAUCUUCCGAAACCAACAAGAUUAAAAGUACCUAGACGGAAACCCAUAUAAAUACAAGGAAGAAUUUUAUAAUUUAAGUUAAAUAUUGUAUUAAAAAUUUCAAAUUAAGCGGUACAUCACAAAUGAAUCUACACAAAGUCAAGAUUACCCUUGGAGUUGCAUUUUUCUUAAAAUUGUAUCAGAACGUUUCAACGAUCAUCUAUCAUUCAAGCAGCAGGAUUCACGUAGACAAAAUGCAUUGUACACAGCGAGAUUCAACCACAGUAUUUUUGUUGACUUUUUUCGUGUUUGACAAAGACGUUAUUUGAUAUCGAGGCAGUUCUGGAAUUGUACCAGCACCCUCGAUAUCCCAAUUUCAAUCUUCCGAAACCAACAAGAUUAAAAGUACCUAGACGGAAACCCAUACAAAUGCAAGGAAGAAUUUUAUAAUUUAAGUUAAAUAUUGUAUUGAAAAUUUCAAAUUAAGCGGUACAUCACAAAUGAAUCUACACAAAGUCAAGAUUACCCUUGGAGUUGCAUUUUUCUUAAAAAUAUAUCAGAACGUUUCAACGAUCAUCUAUCAUUCAAGCAGCAGGAUUCACGUAGACAAAAUGCAUUGUACACAGCGAGAUUCAACCACAGUAUUUUUGUUGACUUUUUUCGUGUUUGACAAAGACGUUAUUUGAUAUCAAGGCAGUUCUGGAAUUGUACCAGCACCCUCGAUAUCCCAAUUUCAAUCUUCCGAAACCAACAAGAUCAAAAGUACCUAGACGGAAACCCAUACAAAUACAAGGAAGAAUUUUAUAAUUUAAGUUAAAUAUUGUAUUGAAAAUUUCAAAUUAAGCGGUACAUCACAAAUGAAUCUACACAAAGUCAAGAUUAGCCCAGGAGUUGCAUUUUUCUUAAAAAUGUAUCAGAACGUUUCAUCGAUCAUCUAUCAUUCAAGCAGCAGGAUUCACGUAGACAAAAUGCAUUGUACACAGCGAGAUUCAACCACAGUAUUUUUGUUGACUUUAUUCGUGUUUGACAAAGACGUUAUUGGAUAUCGAGGCACUUCUGGAAUUGUACCAGCACCCUCGAUAUCCCAAUUUCAAUCUUCCGAAACCAACAAGAUUAAAAGUACCUAGACGGAAACCCAUACAAAUACAAGGAAUAAUUUUAUAAUUUAAGUUAAAUAUUGUAUUGAAAAUUUCAAAUUAAGCGGUACAUCACAAAUGAAUCUACACAAAGUCAAGAUUAGCCCAGGAGUUGCAUUUUUCUUAAAAAUGUAUCAGAACGUUUCAUCGAUCAUCUAUCAUUCAAGCAGCAGGAUUCACGUAGACAAAAUGCAUUGUACACAGCGAGAUUCAACCACAGUAUUUUUGUUGACUUUAUUCGUGUUUGACAAAGACGUUAUUGGAUAUCGAGGCAGUUCUGGAAUUGUACCAGCACCCUCGAUAUCCCAAUUUCAAUCUUCCGAAACCAACAAGAUCAAAAGUACCUAGACGGAAACCCAUACAAAUGCAAGGAAGAAUUUUAUAAUUUAAGUUAAAUAUUGUAUUGAAAAUUUCAAAUUAAGCGUUACAUCACAAAUGAAUCUACACAAAGUCAAGAUUAGUCCUGGAGUUGCAUUUUUCUUAAAAAUGUAUCAGAACGUUUCAACGAUCAUCUAUCAUUCAAGCAGCAGGAGUCACGUUGACAAAAUGCAUUGUACACAGCGAGUUCAACCACAGUAUUUUUGUUGACUUUUUUCGUGUUUGACAAAGACGUUAUUGGAUAUCGAGGCAGUUCUGGAAUUGUACCAGCACCCUCGAUAUCCCAAUUUCAAUCUUCCGAAACCAACAAGAUCAAAAGUACCUAGACGGAAACCCAUACAAAUGCAAGGAAGAAUUUUAUAAUUUAAGUUAAAUAUUGUAUUGAAAAUUUCAAAUUAAGCGGUACAUCACAAAUGAAUCUACACAAAGUCAAGAUUAGCCCAGGAGUUGCAUUUUUCUUAAAAAUGUAUCAGAUAGACGUUUCAACGAUCAUCUAUCAUUCAAGCAGCAGGAUUCACGUAGACAAAAUGCAUUGUACACAGCGAGAUUCAACCACAGUAUUUUUGUUGACUUUUUUCGUGUUUGACAAAGACGUUAUUUGAUAUCAAGGCAGUUCUGGAAUUGUACCAGCACCCUCGAUAUCCCAAUUUCAAUCUUCCGAAACCAACAAGAUUAAAAGUACCUAGACGGAAACCCAUAUAAAUACAAGGAAGAAUUUUAUAAUUUAAGUUAAAUAUUGUAUUAAAAAUUUCAAAUUAAGCGGUACAUCACAAAUGAAUCUACACAAAGUCAAGAUUACCCUUGGAGUUGCAUUUUUCUUAAAAUUGUAUCAGAACGUUUCAACGAUCAUCUAUCAUUCAAGCAGCAGGAUUCACGUAGACAAAAUGCAUUGUACACAGCGAGAUUCAACCACAGUAUUUUUGUUGACUUUUUUCGUGUUUGAGAAAGACGUUAUUGGAUAUCGAGGCAGUACUGGCAGAGUACCAGCACCCUCGAAAUCCCAAUUUCAAUCUUCCGAAACCAACAAGAUCAAAAGUACCUAGACGGAAACCCAUACAAAUGCAAGGAAGAAUUUUAUAAUUUAAGUUAAAUAUUGUAUUGAAAAUUUCAAAUUAAGCGUUACAUCACAAAUGAAUCUACACAAAAUCAAGAUUAGUCCUGGAGUUGCAUUUUUCUUAAAAAUGUAUCAGAACGUUUCAACGAUCAUCUAUCAUUCAAGCAGCAGGAGUCACGUAGACAAAAUGCAUUGUACACAGCGAGUUCAACCACAGUAUUUUUGUUGACUUUUUUCGUGUUUGAGAAAGACGUUAUUGGAUAUCGAGGCAGUACUGGCAGAGUACCAGCACCCUCGAAAUCCCAAUUUCAAUCUUCCGAAACCAACAAGAUCAAAAGUACCUAGACGGAAGCCCAUACAAAUGCAAGGAUGAAUAUUAUAAUUUAAGUUAAAUAUUGUAUUGAAAAUUUCAAAUUAAGCGGUACAUCACAAAUGAAUCUACACAAAGUCAAGAUUAGCCCUGGAGUUGCAUUUUUCUUAAAAAUGUAUCAGAACGUUUCAACGAUCAUCUAUCAUUCAAGCAGCAGGAGUCACGUAGUCAAAAUGCAUUGUACACAGCGAGUUCAACCACAGUAUUUUUGUUGACUUUUUUCGUGUUUGACAAAGACGUUAUUGGAUAUCGAGGCAGUUCUGGAAUUGUACCAGCACCCUCGAUAUCCCAAUUUCAAUCUUCCGAAACCAACAAGAUCAAAAGUACCUAGACGGAAACCCAUACAAAUGCAAGGAAGAAUUUUAUAAUUUAAGUUAAAUAUUGUAUUGAAAAUUUCAAAUUAAGCGGUACAUCACAAAUGAAUCUACACAAAGUCAAGAUUAGCCCAGGAGUUGCAUUUUUCUUAAAAAUGUAUCAGAACGUUUCAACGAUCAUCUAUCAUUCAAGCAGCAGGAGUCACGUAGACAAAAUGCAUUGUACACAGCGAGUUCAACCACAGUAUUUUUGUUGACUUUUUUCGUGUUUGAGAAAGACGUUAUUGGAUUUCGAGGCAGUACUGGCAGAGUACCAGCACCCUCGAAAUCCCAAUUUCAAUCUUCCGAAACCAACAAGAUCAAAAGUACCUAGACGGAAACCCAUACAAAUGCAAGGAAGAAUUUUAUAAUUUAAGUUAAAUAUUGUAUUGAAAAUUUCAAAUUAAGCGGUACAUCACAAAUGAAUCUACACAAAGUCAAGAUUAGCCCAGGAGUUGCAUUUUUCUUAAAAAUGUAUCAGAACGUUUCAACGAUCAUCUAUCAUUCAAGCAGCAGGAGUCACGUAGUCAAAAUGCAUUGUACAUAGCGAGUUCAACCACAGUAUUUUUGUUGACUUUUUUCGUGUUUGACAAAGUCGUUAUUGGAUAUCGAGGCAGUUCUGGAAUUGUACCAGCACCCUCGAUAUCCCAAUUUCAAUCUUCCGAAACCAACAAGAUCAAAAGUACCUAGACGGAAACCCAUACAAAUACAAUGAAGAAUUUUAUAAUUUUAGUUAAAUAUUGUAUUGAAAAUUUCAAAUUAAGCGGUACAUCACAAAUGAAUCUACACAAAGUCAAGAUUAGCCCUGGAGUUGCAUUUUUCUUAAAAAUGUAUCAGAACGUUUCAACGAUCAUCUAUCAUUCAAGCAGCAGGAGUCACGUAGUCAAAAUGCAUUGUACACAGCGAGUUCAACCACAGUAUUUUUGUUGACUUUUUUCGUGUUUGACAAAGACGUUAUUGGAUAUCGAGGCAGUUCUGGAAUUGUACCAGCACCCUCGAUAUCCCAAUUUCAAUCUUCCGAAACCAACAAGAUUAAAAGUACCUAGACGGAAACCCAUACAAAUACAAUGAAGAAUUUUAUAAUUUAAGUUAAAUAUUGUAUUGAAAAUUUCAAAUUAAGCGGUACAUCACAAAUGAAUCUACACAAAGUCAAGAUUAGCCCUGGAGUUGCAUUUUUCUUAAAAAUGUAUCAAAGUAAGAAUUUCAAGUUUCUAGUGAUUACCUGUAAUAAUUUUUUGUUUGUAACCAGUAGACGUUUCAACGAUCAUCCAUCAUUCAAGCAGCAGGAUUCACGUAGACAAAAUGCAUUGUACACAGCGAGUUCAACCACAGUAUUUUUGUUGACUUUUUUCGUGUUUGAGAAAGACGUUAUUGGAUAUCGAGGCAGUUCUGGAAUUGUACCAGCACCCUCGAUAUCCCAAUUUCAAUCUUCCGAAACCAACAAGAUUAAAAGUACCUAGACGGAAACCCAUACAAAUACAAGGAAGAAUUUUAUAAUUUAAGUUAAAUAUUGUAUUGAAAAUUUCAAAUUAAGCGGUACAUCACAAAUGAAUCUACACAAAGUCAAGAUUAGCCCAAGAGUUGCAUUUUUCUCAAAAAUGUAUCAGAACGUUUCAACGAUCAUCUAUCAUUCAAGCAGCAGGAGUCACGUAGACAAAAUGCAUUGUACACAACGAGUUCAACCACAGUAUUUUUGUUGACUUUUUUCGUGUUUGAGAAAGACGUUAUUGGAUAUCGAGGCAGUACUGGCAGAGUACCAGCACCCUCGAAAUCCCAAUUUCAAUCUUCCGAAACCAACAAGAUCAAAAGUACCUAGACGGAAGCCCAUACAAAUGCAAGGAAGAAUUUUAUAAUUUAAGUUAAAUAUUGUAUUGAAAAUUUCAAAUUAAGCGGUACAUCACAAAUGAAUCUACACAAAGUCAAGAUUAGCCCAAGAGUUGCAUUUUUCUCAAAAAUGUAUCAGAACGUUUCAACGAUCAUCUAUCAUUCAAGCAGCAGGAGUCACGUAGACAAAAUGCAUUGUACACAACGAGUUCAACCACAGUAUUUUUGUUGACUUUUUUCGUGUUUGAGAAAGACGUUAUUGGAUAUCGAGGCAGUACUGGCAGAGUACCAGCACCCUCGAAAUCCCAAUUUCAAUCUUCCGAAACCAACAAGAUCAAAAGUACCUAGACGGAAGCCCAUACAAAUGCAAGGAAGAAUUUUAUAAUUUAAGUUAAAUAUUGUAUUGAAAAUUUCAAAUUAAGCGGUACAUCACAAAUGAAUCUACACAAAGUCAAGAUUAGCCCUGGAGUUGCAUUUUUCUUAAAAAUGUAUCUGAGUAAGAAUUUCAAGU